UAUCCUACGGGAGGCAGCAGUGAGGAAUAUUGGUCAAUGGGCGAGAGCCUGAACCAGCCAAGUCGCGUGAGGGAGUACUGCCCUAUGGGUUGUAAACCUCUUUUGCCGGGGAGCAAGGGCGGGGACGUGUCCCGGCCCGGAGAGUACCCGGAGAAAAAGCAUCGGCUAACUCCGUGCCAGCAGCCGCGGUGACACGGAGGAUGCGAGCGUUAUCCGGAUUUAUUGGGUUUAAAGGGUGCGUAGGCGGAAUGCCAAGUCAGCGGUAAAAUCGCGGGGCUCAACCUCGCUCCGCCGUUGAAACUGGC
rnacentral:rRNA from 1 species